UUUGCACAAUGGCCGAAAGGCUGAUGCAGCAACGCCGCGUGAGUGAAGAAGGCCUUCGGGUUGUAAAGCUCUGUUGCCCGUGACGAACUGCCGCAUCAGGAAAUGGGUGCGGAUUGACGGUAGCGGGAGAGGAAGCCCCGGCAAACUACGUGCCAGCAGCCGCGGUAAUACGUAGGGGGCGAGCGUUGUCCGGAUUUAUUGGGCGUAAAGGGCGUGUAGGCGGCCUGGCAAGUCAGGGGUGAAACCCCAGGGCUCAACCCUGGGCGUGCCUCUGAAACUGUUGGGCUUGAGUGCUCUAGAGGGCAGUGGAAUUCCCGGUGUAGCAGUGAAAUGCGUAGAGAUCGGGAGGAACACCAGUGGCGAAGGCGACUGCCUGGGGAGUAACUGACGCUGAGGCGCGAAAGCUAGGGGAGCGAACAGGAUUAGAUACCCUGGUAGUCCUAGCCGUAAACGAUGAGUGCUAUGUGUGAGGGGUAUCGACCCCCCUCGUGCAGCAGUAACGCAAUAG
rnacentral:rRNA from 1 species